rnacentral:rRNA from 1 species
AGGACGAACGCUGGCGGCGUGCUUAACACAUGCAAGUCGAACGAUGAUCCGGUUUCGGCCGGGGAUUAGUGGCGAACGGGUGAGUAACACGUGGGCAACCUGCCCUCCACUCUGGGAUAACUCCGGGAAACCGGGGCUAAUACUGGAUACGACCUUCGGGCGCAUGCCUGGGGGUGGAAAGUUUUUCGGUGGAGGAUGGGCCCGCGGCCUAUCAGCUUGUUGGUGGGGUGAUGGCCUACCAAGGCGGUGGACGGGUA